CCUUCCCGUUAAACCAUGAUGAUAUAGAUGGACCUCAGCAGAUGGAGGAGCACGUGAGCACCACAUAGCUCACGGGGAGGAAGCUGGAAGAACACUUAGGAUUCUCAGCAGGCGGUCUGCAUGCCACAGACUCUUGGGGACACAGAUCCAUGUAUGAGCCUUGGCAGGUCGCAGGAGAACCAUAGAGCUGCCUCAGCAGCUCUUUCUCCAGCAAUGGAGGGCAAGGAGAAAGGGGGCUGAUGGAGAACACCCUGCGCACUCUGGUCUGACUCUGGUGACUGCAGUGACAGUGAGCAGGAUCAGGAAUGGGUCCUACUUGGGAAGCUGAGGGUCACAGUCGUCAGACCUGCCCUACCUCGCACGCCUGUCUGAAGCAGGAGUUCAAGUGUGUGGUGAGUGCUCCAGCAAAGAGCCAGCCGAGUUGACUGAGCAGCUCAAAUGCCAGCCUGGGAAUGAGGGGAGUGAAGUCAGAGGCCAGUGAUGUGGGAAGACCCUCCACAGGGCCUAUUACAUGUCUGUCUCUGAAGGUCAAUCUCUGCAAAGCAGCAUGUGGAGACAUCUCUGGGUACAGAUGUCAAGCGUCUCCAGCUCUGAAGGUCAGGCCAGAAGCUGCCCACCGUGCUGCAGGAGGACUCGGAGGGGACAAGAGGCCUCAACUUAACAGAUGAGGAAAGGAUGGGAGAGGGCAGGUGGCUCGCAAAGAUUGGCGUGCCUUGCAGAACAUGCUCCAUGGGCUUGGAGGCAGGUCUGUCCUGGCAUCCUUUGCUCUCCAGCUAAUCCCUGGCCUGGUCCCACACAUCCUGAGGCCAUACCCAGAAGGG